UACGUAGGGGCCGAGCGUUGUCCGGAGUUAUUGGGCGUAAAGCGCUCGCAGGUGGUUCAUUGCGUCGUGCGUGAAAGACCCCGGCUCAACUGGGGAGGGUCGUGCGAAACGGGUGAACUAGAGGCCAGUAGGGGGAUGCGGAAUUCCGGGUGUAGUGGUGGAAUGCGUAGAGAUCCGGAGGAACACCAGCGGCGAAGGCGGCAUCCUGGACUGGUCCUGACACUCAGGAGCGAAAGCGUGGGGAGCGAUCCGG
rnacentral:rRNA from 1 species